UAUUGUACACUGCUCAAAGUGGAUCUAACAAAAGUGUUAGCAUCAAUUAGAUCAAUGUUUUGUGUCUCCGUCAGUCGGGAGGUACCGAGUGUGGAUAUUAUGUUUGUAAGUUCAUGAAAGAGAUAGUCGAGAACGGACUUGAAGUGCUGGUCAUAAGAAUGUAAGCAAACUUUUCUGAUACACAUUUGUCAUAUCAUACAUACACAUUAGUCAUACAACUAUCAUAUUGACUAGUAUAUUUCUUGUAGAAUAAAGAAUA